UACGAAGGGGGCUAGCGUUGCUCGGAAUCACUGGGCGUAAAGCGCACGUAGGCGGCUUUCUAAGUCAGGGGUGAAAUCCUGGAGCUCAACUCCAGAACUGCCUUUGAUACUGGGGAGCUCGAGUCCGGAAGAGGUGAGUGGAACUCCGAGUGUAGAGGUGAAAUUCGUAGAUAUUGGGAAGAACACCUGAGGCGAAGGCGGGUUGCUGGGCCGACACUGACGCUGAGGCGCGAAAGCCAGGGAGCGAACGGG
rnacentral:rRNA from 1 species